AUUGCCCUAGUAACGGCGAGUGAAGCGGCAACAGCUCAAAUUUGAAAUCUGGCCUCCUCCGGGGGUCCGAGUUGUAAUUUGCAGAGGGUGCUUUGGCUUUGGCGGCGGUCUAAGUUCCUUGGAACAGGACAUCGCAGAGGGUGAGAAUCCCGUACGUGGGCGCCUGCCACUGCCGUGUAAAGCCCCUUCGACGAGUCGAGUUGUUUGGGAAUGCAGCUCUAAAUGGGAGGUAAAUUUCUUCUAAAGCUAAAUACCGGCCAGAGACCGAUAGCGCACAAGUAGAGUGAUCGAAAGAUGAAAAGUACUUUGGAAAGAGAGUAAAAUAGCACGUGAAAUUGUUGUAGAGGAAGCGCUUGCAGCCAGACUUCCCCGUAGUCGCUCACCCGGGCUCCUGCCCGGGGCACUCUUCUGCGGGGAGGCCAGCAUCAGUUUGGGCGGUCGGAUAAAGGCCUCUGUCACGUAUCUCCCUCCGGGGAGACCUUAUAGGGGAGGCGCAAUGCGACCAGCCCGGACUGAGGUCCGCGCAUCUGCCAGGAUGCUGGCGUAAUGGCUGUAAGCGGCCCGUCUUGAAACACGGACCAAGGAGUCUAACAUCUAUGCGAGUGUUUGGGUGUCAAGCCCGGGCGCGCAAUGAAAGUGAACGGAGGUGGGAACCCUCGGGUGCACCAUCGACCGAUCCUGAUGUCUUCGGAUGGAUUUGAGUAAGAGCAUAGCUGUUGGGACCCGAAAGAUGGUGAACUAUGCUUGAAUAGGGUGAAGCCAGAGGAAACUCUGGUGGAGGCUCGCAGCGGUUCUGACGUGCAAAUCGAUCGUCAAAUUUGGGCAUAGGGGCGAAAGACUAAUCGAACUAU
rnacentral:rRNA from 1 species